UCUACGGGUGGCAGCAGUGAGGAAUAUUGGUCAAUGGGCGCGAGCCUGAACCAGCCAAGUCGCGUGAGGGAAGACGGUCCUAUGGAUUGUCAAACUCUUUUGUCGGUGAGCAAAAGACGCCACGUGUGGGGUUCCGAGAGUACCCGAAGCAAAAGCAACGGCUAACCACGUGCCAGCAGCCGCGGUAAUACGGAGGAUGCGAGCGUUAUCCGGAUUUCUUGGGUUGAAAGGGUGCGCAGGAGGAAGAGCAAGUCAGCGGUAGAAUUGAGAGGCUCAACCUCUUCGAGCCGUUGAAACUGGUUUUCUUGAGUGAGCGAGAAGUAUGCUGAAUGCGUUGUGUAGCGG
rnacentral:rRNA from 1 species